AAAGUCGUAACAAGGUCUCCGUUGGUGAACCAGCGGAGGGAUCAUUACUGAGCUUACGCACUCUCAACCCUUUCGUGGACCACAGAACGUUGCCUCGGUGGGCUCGCCCGCCGGAGGCCAAACAACCCUAUUUUUUGCAGGUUAUCUGAGUGGCGCAGAAAAAAAAAAAAAAAAUUAAGUCAAAACUUUCAGCAACGGAUCUCUUGGUUCUG
rnacentral:misc_RNA from 1 species